rnacentral:misc_RNA from 1 species
GAGAUUAUCCAUGGCAGGAAUUCCAGCGUAUGGUCCGAAGGUUGUUCAUCUGCCCAAAGGAAGAUACUGGCAGGCUGAAUCCAAAAUCAGCAAACUGAGUGUCCGUGUGAUAAAUCUUGCACAAGUGACUGUGUCUUCUGUUUAGUUUUUGGGCAAUUCCAUAAAUAAAUGAGAAAGAGAUGCGUUUAUGUAUGGGAAACUAGGAAUGCACUUUAUCUCAAUGCAGUUAUGUGUGAUAUUUAUGGCAAUGCAGCUAAUGGGAUUGCAGAACAUAGACAUCAAAUAAUGUUGAUACAACUUUAUGUUUGAAUGUUUAAUUUGGUAUUGAUUUAUGGCUUUU